rnacentral:tRNA from 1 species
GAGAUUGUGGCUCAGUGGUAGAGCGCUCCCCUAGCAUGGGAGGGACCCGGGUUCAAUCCUCAGCACCACA